rnacentral:rRNA from 1 species
GACGAACGCUGGCGGCGUGCUUAACACAUGCAAGUCGAGGGACCGGCGCACGGGUGAGUAACACGUAUCCACCCUUCUCUUUACUCGGGGAUAGCCUUUCGAAUGGAAGAUUAAUACCCAAAGUAAAGGCUGGGGAUGCGGUCCGUUAGGUUGUUGGUGAGGUAACGGCUCACCAAGCCUUCGAUGGAUAGGCGUUGUGAGAGUAAGCCCCCCCACAUUGGAACUAAGACACGGUCCAAACUGCUACGGGAGGGAGCAGUGAAGAAUAUUAGUCAAUGGGCGUUAGCCUGACCCAGCCAAGUAACUGGAAGGAUGAAGGCUUUGGAGCCGUAAACUUCUAUUAUAGAAGAAAAUGUAUUAUAUGAAUAAGGAACGGCUAACUCCGUGCCAGCAGCCGCGGUAAUUC